rnacentral:tRNA from 1 species
GGAGGUGUGGCUAAGUGGUAUAGCGUUCACCUAGCAAGCAUGAGGUGAGGUUCAUGAGGUCCUAGGUUCAAUCCCUGUCACCUUUU